GCACAAAACAAACCCCGAAGUGAUCUCUCUUAUUAGAUACCCAUGGCGACAUACUCACAUAUGUUUGUCACCCUUGUCAUCCUUUCUAUUCUCAGUGUCCACUUCCAAGCCCAAGGAGCAACAGAAAGUGUCGCAACUGACAACUCAGUACGUGACAGGAAGACAAUUGUCCAAGGGACCUAUUUGCCUCAAAGAACCGUUUCAAGACGGUGCACACCAUGCAGAAGUUGUGCACAAAAAACUUGUUGCUACGAGUUUAUUUGCAAUGAUCCUACAAAUCCAGGUCUCACUUGCGUUGGUACUAUGCUCUAUUGUGGCUGUACUAUUGAAACUUGUAAUAGUAAUUUUUAAUUUUUUUGCUUACGAAAAUAAAUGGGAAUAAAGCAUGGAAGUUUGUGAUACAAA